rnacentral:rRNA from 1 species
UACAGAGGUGGCAAGCGUUGUUCGGAAUUACUGGGCGUAAAGGGCGCGUAGGCGGCGCGGUAAGUCACUUGUGAAAUCUCUGAGCUUAACUCAGAACGGCCAAGUGAUACUGCAGUGCUAGAGUGUGGAAGGGGCAAUCGGAAUUCUUGGUGUAGCGGUGAAAUGCGUAGAUAUCAAGAGGAACACCGGUGGCGAAGGCGGGUCUCUGGGCAGUAACUGACGCUGAGGAGCGAAAGCGUGGGGAGCGAACAGG